GCUACGGUAGCAUAACUGGUAAAUGCACUGCUCUGAUAAGGCAGAGAUAGAACGUUCAAGUCGUUCGCGUAGCAC
rnacentral:tRNA from 1 species